rfam:Halobacillus halophilus DSM 2266 complete genome
GGGGACGUUACGGAUUCGACGGGGAUAGGUCGAGCUCGGGUUGCGAGUCGAGGCGACGUCUCGUUAAACGUCAUUUGCCUAAAUAUAACUGGCGAAUCUAACGAUAACCUAGCUGUAGCUGCAUAAGCAGUCUAUAGCUGAUCCUUCCUGGCAUUGCCCGUGUGGCAGAUGAAGGGUCUCAAACUGAAACGGGCUACGCGUUUUUCCUCCGCCUGAGGAAAAACGAAGAGACUAAUCAGGCUAGCUCCUCGGAAGCCUGUUGAUAGGCUGAAGAGGAAGCGAAUUAUAAUAUAUCAACUACGCUUGUAGAAGCCCGAGUGCCGAUAUCUCCGGACGUGGGUUCGACUCCCACCGUCUCCACCA